rnacentral:tRNA from 1 species
GUUCGCGUAGCUUAGAUGGAUAAAGCGUUUCCCUCCGAAGGAAAAGAACGCAGGUUCAAGUCCUGCCGUGAACA